rnacentral:rRNA from 1 species
AAAACAUUGCCGGGUGAGUAAAGAAUAUCGGGUAGUUCCUGCUCAGUGCAAGUAAGUAAAUAGCCGGUGUUCCCGCUAAGGUAGCAUAAUAGUUUACCAUUUAAAUGAUGGAGGGUAUGAAAGGAUAAACCGAUUAUUUGUGUGUCAAGUUUUUGAAGUGAAAUUGGAAUUCAGGUGAAAAUUGCCUGAGUGGCUCGUUAAGACAAAAAGACCCCGUGAAGCUUUACUGCUAGUGGUUUGAUUGGGGCAAUCUUAAUAAGACAUAGUUAAAAUAUAAGAGACCUUUAUCUAAAGAGACAGACUAAGUUACUCCGGGGGUAACAGGCUAAUUAAACCUGAGAGUUCGAAUUGAUGGUUUAGAUUGGUACCUCGAUGUUGGCUUAAUCUGACUAGGAGGUUGAAGGUGCUUUCAGAAGUAGGUGUGUUCACCCUUUAAAAGAUUACGUGA